UACGGAGGGUGCAAGCGUUAUCCGGAUUCACUGGGUUUAAAGGGUGCGUAGGCGGGCAGGUAGGUCCGUGGUGAAAUCUCUGAGCUUAACUCAGAAACUGCCAUGGAUACUAUUUGUCUUGAAUAUUGUGGAGGUAAGCGGAAUAUGUCAUGUAGCGGUGAAAUGCUUAGAUAUGACAUAGAACACCAAUUGCGAAGGCAGCUUACUACACAGUUAUUGACGCUGAGGCACGAAAGCGUGGGGAUCAAACAGG
rnacentral:rRNA from 1 species